GUGAGGAAUAUUGCGCAAUGGAGGCAACUCUGACGCAGCCAUGCCGCGUGCAGGAAGAAGGCGCUACGCGUUGUAAACUGCUUUUAACCGGGAAGAAACCCCAGGACGUGUCCUGGGUUGACGGUACCGGAGGAAUAAGCACCGGCUAACUUCGUGCCAGCAGCCGCGGUAAUACGAAGGGUGCAAGCGUUAUCCGGAUUCAUUGGGUUUAAAGGGUGCGUAGGCGGAGCGUUAAGUCAGUGGUGAAAUCCUGCAGCUUAACUGUAGACUUGCCAUUGAUACUGGCGCUCUUGAGUGCGCUUGAAGUGGGCGGAAUGUGCCGUGUAGCGGUGAAAUGCUUAGAUAUGGCACAGAACACCAAUUGCAAAGGCAGCUCACUAAGGCGAUACUGACGCUGAGGCACGAAAGCGUGGGGAUCGAACAGGAUUAGAUACCCCAGUAGUCC
rnacentral:rRNA from 1 species